rnacentral:lncRNA from 1 species
UUGGAGAGCUGUUGAGGCGCAUUCCGUCGAACACGAGGUGGGCAUUGAGGCGUUCAACAAUUUGGGGUUUGAAUUGCCGCCGGAGACAAUAGCUGCUGGAGAUGAGGUGGCGGCGAGCUUGGCGCCGGUGGUGCAGAGUGAGGAGAAGGAUCUGAAGUUAGAGAAUGAGGAAGAGACUCAAGUAGAGAAAGACCCAUUUGCUGCGAGUGAAAAGAUUAAUCAGCCUGAAGAGUUGGUGAGUGGGUUCAAGAAGAAUAAGGAUCCUUCGGCCACGGACUUAACACUGGC